UACGUAGGGUCCGAGCGUUGUCCGGAAUUAUUGGGCGUAAAGAGCUCGUAGGCGGUUUGUCGCGUCUGCUGUGAAAUCCCGAGGCUCAACCUCGGGCCUGCAGUGGGUACGGGCAGACUGGAGUGCGGUAGGGGGAGAAUGGAAUUCCUGGUGUAGCGGUGGAAUGCGCAGAUAUCAGGAGGAACACCGAUGGCGAAGGCAGUUCUCUGGGCCGUAACUGACGCUGAGGAGCGAAAGCAUGGGGAGCGAACAGG
rnacentral:rRNA from 1 species